UCACAUAGCCCAUGAGGGAAAGGGGACAACAACAUGAAAUUUGUUGGCAAAACUUAGUUGUUCUUGCUUGAACUUCUUUGUCAUUUGUAGCUCAGGUGCAGGUGUGGUUUCAUGGAUGU